GCGGAGGGGUGAGUAAUGCCUAGGAAAUUGCCCUGAUGUGGGGGAUAACCAUUGGAAACGAUGGCUAAUACCGCAUGAUGCCUACGGGCCAAAGAGGGGGACCUUCGGGCCUCUCGCGUCAGGAUAUGCCUAGGUGGGAUUAGCUAGUUGGUGAGGUAAGGGCUCACCAAGGCGACGAUCCCUAGCUGGUCUGAGAGGAUGAUCAGCCACACUGGAACUGAGACACGGUCCAGACUCCUACGGGAGGCAGCAGUGGGGAAUAUUGCACAAUGGGCGCAAGCCUGAUGCAGCCAUGCCGCGUGUGUGAAGAAGGCCUUCGGGUUGUAAAGCACUUUCAGUCGUGAGGAAGGUAGUGUAGUUAAUAGCUGCAUUAUUUGACGUUAGCGACAGAAGAAGCACCGGCUAACUCCGUGCCAGCAGCCGCGGUAAUACGGAGGGUGCGAGCGUUAAUCGGAAUUACUGGGCGUAAAGCGCAUGCAGGUGGUUUGUUAAGUCAGAUGUGAAAGCCCGGGGCUCAACCUCGGAAUAGCAUUUGAAACUGGCAGACUAGAGUACUGUAGAGGGGGGUAGAAUUUCAUGUGUAGCGGUGAAAUGCGUAGAGAUCUGAAGGAAUACCGGUGGCGAAGGCGGCCCCCUGGACAGAUACUGACACUCAGAUGCGAAAGCGUGGGGAGCAAACAGGAUUAGAUACCCUGGUAGUCCACGCCGUAAACGAUGUCUACUUGGAGGUUGUGGCCUUGAGCCGUGGCUUUCGGAGCUAACGCGUUAAGUAGACCGCCUGGGGAGUACGGUCGCAAGAUUAAAACUCAAAUGAAUUGACGGGGGCCCGCACAAGCGGUGGAGCAUGUGGUUUAAUUCGAUGCAACGCGAAGAACCUUACCUACUCUUGACAUCCAGAGAACUUUCCAGAGAUGGAUUGGUGCCUUCGGGAACUCUGAGACAGGUGCUGCAUGGCUGUCGUCAGCUCGUGUUGUGAAAUGUUGGGUUAAGUCCCGCAACGAGCGCAACCCUUAUCCUUGUUUGCCAGCGAGUAAUGUCGGGAACUCCAGGGAGACUGCCGGUGAUAAACCGGAGGAAGGUGGGGACGACGUCAAGUCAUCAUGGCCCUUACGAGUAGGGCUACACACGUGCUACAAUGGCGCAUACAGAGGGCGGCCAACUUGCGAAAGUGAGCGAAUCCCAAAAAGUGCGUCGUAGUCCGGAUUGGAGUCUGCAACUCGACUCCAUGAAGUCGGAAUCGCUAGUAAUCGUGGAUCAGAAUGCCACGGUGAAUACGUUCCCGGGCCUUGUACACACCGCCCGUCACACCAUGGGACCCCCCUCUAGAGUAUCUCCCCUCUCAACAUGCGGUCUGCAUCAUACUCCA
rnacentral:rRNA from 1 species